rnacentral:rRNA from 1 species
GACGAACGCUGGCGGCGUGCCUAAUACAUGCAAGUAGAACGCUGAAGAGAGGAGCUUGCUCUUCUUGGAUGGGUUGCGAACGGGUGAGUAACGCGUAGGUAACCUGCCUUGUAGCGGGGGAUAACUAUUGGAAACGAUAGCUAAUACCGCAUAACAAUGGAUGACACAUGUCAUUUAUUUGAAAGGGGCAAUUGCUCCACUACAAGAUGGACCUGCGUUGUAUUAGCUAGUAGGUGAGGUAACGGCUCACCUAGGCGACGAUACAUAGCCGACCUGAGAGGGUGAUCGGCCACACUGGGACUGAGACACGGCCCAGACUCCUACGGGAGGCAGCAGUAGGGAAUCUUCGGCAAUGGGGGCAACCCUGACCGAGCAACGCCGCGUGGGUGAAGAAGGUUUUCGGAUCGUAAAGCUCUGUUGUAAGUCAAGAACGAGUGUGAGAGUGGAAA